rnacentral:lncRNA from 1 species
AAAAUUUUUCUAGUUCCAUAUAUAAAAUAAAUAAAGUCUAUGGAAAACAUAAUUAAUUGAACUAUGUUCCAAAUAUUAAACUUCAAAUUUAACAUGAAGAUAAAACUGAAAUAACAUGAAGAAAAAUAAAUAAAUCAAACUUCCUAAUCAUGUUACUCAGAAUUUAUUGAUCUUGAAUUCCAUAAUUUCUGGCAUCACAACUCCACCGCAUUUUCCGCCAACCAACGACCCGUUCUAAUCUGUGAGGAGUAGGGAAAAGGGUGAGUACGUGGAAAUACUCAGUAGGAUAUAAAAAUUAACGGUGCAGUCCCGUAUAAAAAUUUUAAAACAUGCAUCAGAAAAACCAUACCGUCCCAUAUCUUUAAAAUCCGGUAGGAGCUCAUAUCAUAUCAUAUUGUUGUACCGGAAUGGCCAUAUCAUUCACAUCAUAACAUAUCAUAUUAUAACUUUAACUUUCAUGAGUAUAAAAUUCAUCAGCCUGAAAAAAAUAUUUAAAUGGGACAUAAAAACACUGCACUUCAUAUCCUACCUUAUUAGAUCUUUAAAAUUUUUGGAUCACAAAACCCAAGAAAUCACGCUCCAAAAAUCCUUCUCGCUGCUUCAAGAAUUUAUAUUGUUUGAAAUUGACUUCCUGUUUUAAAUUCCAAUACCACAGGUAUAAGUAUUUUUAAACCUUUUUUUUUAAGGUAUAAAGUAAUAUUCCUUUUACACUGCAUAAAUAUGGAGUCUGUAAUUUACCUAAUUUCAACACUCUUCUUUCUGUACAACCGUUUGCUUAUACAUAUGUCUUCUUUUGAUAUACAUCUAUAAAUAUAUCCCACAUUAUCUAGUCUAACAAAGUGGGUGUGUAGUUGAGGAUACGAGUAGUAGUAGGAUAGGAGUAUGAUAAAUUUGGGAAACAAACUUUUUGAAAUAAAAUAAUUGACCAAAUCUUGUCAACCAACUAUAUCACUCAACGAGCAAUACCUCUCCCACACGUGGCCAACAAAUUGGAAUAAAUAAAGUCUCUCUCUCUCUCUCUCUUCUUAAAUAUAUUUAUUAUUAUUAAAAUAUUCAAUCCUAACUUAACAAAGAUUCUUCAUUCCUUUCACGUGACUUGAGAGAAAAUUAAAUUAAUUAAAUAAUUAAUUAGAAUAUAAUUGUAAAGCUCUAUCUUUCGACCUCGAUAAUUUGGGCUCCACUAAUCCAAAUUAACUUUUUCCUCGAGCCUAACAUGCAUGAUUAAUUAUGACCUAUCCAACGAGCCCAAUACUCAUAUAUUUAUUAUCGCCCCAUUAGUAUCUACAUUUUAAGCCAAAUGAAAUCGAAAUUUACUUUAUAUAUACUUUAGUCCCCAAACUUUCAAAAUAUUAAAAUAUAGCACACCUAAAUUAAAUUCUAAUCUAUGAAAUUUUGUGACAUUACACGUAGUUAACUUGAAAUCAAAAACAACUUUUCAUUUGUUCGAUUUCAAUCGAAUUAGACUAGUAAUUCGCUAAUUCGCUAAAAACAAACAAACCAGAAGUUAUCAUGAAAUCAAAAACAACUUUUCAUUGGCUCGAUUCCAAUCGAACUCGACUAGCAAUUCGUAAAAAACGAACAAACCCAAAGUUAUCAUGAAAUCAAAAACCACUUUUCAUUGGCUCGAUUCUAGUUGAAUUAGACUAGCAAUUCCCCAAAAAUGAACAAACCUGAAGUUAUCAUAAAAUCAAGAACCAUUUUUCAUUGGCUCGAUUCCAAUCGAAUUUGACUAGCAAUUCGCUAAAAACGAAUGAAGCCGAAGUUAUCCUGAAAUCGAAAGCCAAUUUUCAUUAGCUCGAUCGCAAUCGAAUUAGACCAGCAAUUCGCAAAAAACAAACAGACCCGAAGUCAUCAUGAAAUUAAAAACCACUUUUCAUUAGCUCGAUUCCAAUCGAAUUAGACUAGCAAUUCAUCAAAAAGGAACAAACUCGAAGUUAUCAUGAAUCAAAAGCCACCUUUCAUUGUCUCGAUUCGAAUCGAAUUAGACUAGCAAUUCACCGAUAAUGAACAAACCCGAAGUUUAUAAUAAAAUCAAAAACAACUUUUCAUUGGCUCGAUUCCAAUCGAAUUAGACUAGCAAUUUGCCUAAAACGAACAAACCAGAAAUUAUCCUGAAACCAAAAACCACUUUUCAUUAGCUCGAUUCCAAUCAAAUUAGACUAGAAAUUCGCCAAAAAAUGAAAAAACCCGAUGUUAUCAUAAAAUCGAAAGCCACUUUUCAUUGGCUCGAUUCCAAUCAAACUAGGCUACCAAUUCGUCAAAAAUGAACGAACCCAAACUCAUCAUGAAAUCAAAAAUCACUUUUCAUUGGCUCGAUUCCAAUCGAAUUACACUAGUAAUUCGCCAAAAACAAACAAACCGGAGUUCGAUUCCAAUCAAAUUAGUCUAUUAAUUUGCCGAAAACGAAAAAACUCGAAGUUAUCAUGAAAUCAAAAACCACUUUUCAUUGGCUCAAUUCCAUUUGAAUUUGACAAGCGAUUCAUAAAAAAUGAACAAACUCGAAGUUGUCAUGAAAUCAAAAGCCACAUUUCAAUGGCUCGAUUCCAAUCGACUCAAACUAGCAAUUCUCUAGAAAUGAACAAAUUCGAAGUUAUCAUGAUAUCAAAAACCACUUUUCAUUGGCUCGAUUCCAAUCGAAUUAGACUAGUGAUUCAUCAAAAACAAAAAAACUCGAAGUUAUCAUGAAAUCAAAAAACAGUUGUAAUUUGCUCGAUUCUAAUCGAAUUAGACUAUCGAUUUGUCAAAAACGAACAAACUCGAAGAUAUCAUGAAAUCAAAAACCACUUUUCAUUGGCUUGAUUCCAAUCGAAUUUGACAAGCAAUUCAUAAAAAACAAACAAACUCGAAGUUAUCAUGAAAUAAAAAGCCACUUUUCAUUUGCUUGAUUCUAAUUGAACUAAACUAGCUAUUCGCCAAAAACGAACAAACCCGAAGUUAUCAUGUUAUCAAAAACAGCUUUUCAUUGGUUCGAUUCCAAUCGAAUUAGACAAGCAAUUCGCCAAAAAUAAAAAGACCCAUAGUUAUCUUGAAACCAAAAACCACUUUUCAUUGGCUCGAUUCCAAUCGAAUUAGACUGGCAAUUCGCAAAAAUCAAAAAACCCGAAGUUAUCAUGAAAUCAAAAACAACUUUUCAUCGGCUCGAUUCCAAUCGAAUUAGACUAGUAAUUCGCUAAAGACGAACAAACCUGAAGUUAUCAUGAAAUCAAAAACAACUUUUCAUUGGCUCGAUUCCAAUCGAACUCGACUAGCAAUUCGUCAAAAACGAACAAAUCCAAAGUUAUCAUGAAAUUAAAAACCCCUUUUCAUUGGCUCGAUUCUAGUCGAAUUAGACUAGCAAUUCCCCAAAAAUGAACAAACCUGAAGUUAUCAUGAAAUCAAGAACCACUUUUCAUUGGCUCGAUUCAAGUUGAAUUUGACUGGCAAUUCGCUAAAAAUGAAUGAAGCCGAAGUUAUCCUGAAAUCGAAAGCCAAUUUUGACUGGCUCGAUCACAAUCGAAUUAGACCAACAAUUCACAAAAAACAAACAGACCUGAAGUUAUCAUGAAAUUAAAAACAACUUUUCACUGGCUCGAUUCCAAUCGAAUUAGACUAGCAAUUCAUCAAAAAGGAACAAACUCGAAGUUAUCAUGAAAUCAAAGGCCACCUUUCAUUGUCUCGAUUCGAAUUGAGUUAGACUAGCAAUUUGUCGAUAAUGAACAAACCCGAAGUUUAUAAUGAAAUCAAAAAUCACUUUUCAUUGGCUCGAUUCCAAUCGAAUUAGACUAAAAAUUCGCCUAAAACGAACAAACCCGAAGUUAUCUUGAAAUCAAAAACCACAUUUCAUUGGCUUGAUUCGAAUCAAAUUGGACUAGAAAUUCGCUAAAAAUGAAAAAACCCGAUGUUAUCAUGAAAUCAAAAGCCACUUUUCAUUGGCUCGAUUCCAAUCAAAUUGGGCUACCAAUUCGCCAAAUACAAACGAACCCAAACUCAUCAUGAAAUUAAAAACCACUUUUCAUUGGCUCAAUUCCAAUUGAAUUAGACAAGCAAUUCUCCAAAAAUGAACAAACUGGAGUUCGAUUCCAAUCAAAUUAGUCUAUUAAUUUGCCGAAAACGAAUAAACUCAAAGUUAUCCUGAAAUCAAAAACCACUUUUCAUUGGCUUAAUUCCAUUUGAAUUUGACAAGCGAUUCAUAAAAAAUGAACAAACUCGAAGUUAUCAUGAAUUAAAAGCCACAUUUCAAUGGCUAGAUUCCAAUCGACUCAGACUAGCAAUUCGCUAGAAAUGAACAUAUCCGAAGUUAUCAUGAUAUCAAAAGCCACUUUUCAUUCGCUCGAUUCCAA